rnacentral:lncRNA from 1 species
GAGGGAUUGGCCGGGUCUGGGUGAAGGGGAUCACGGCCUGGGGAUUGGAGGGGCACAUCUUCUCCGCACCGAGGAUCUCAGCGACUGCGAGCACGGCUCGGAGACCCACGGUGGUGCAGCGUUGGGGCGCCAGGGCUGCGUUCCCGUCUCGCGUCCCGGACUGAGAAGAAAUACUUUCAGAGCUCUUUCAUUCAUCCUGACAAUGGCCAGAGAAGGUAGGUAUUGGUAGCCUUAUUUUAGAGAUGGGGAAACUGAGGCUGAGAGUAGGUAAGUAAGCUGUCCAAGGGCACUCAGCUAACAAAGGACAGAAGCAAGCCUCCUCACUGUCUACCUCCAAAACCUACACUGGCUUGGAGUUGCUGUCCUGGCCCUCCACUGCCCAUCUCAUGUAGGACGGGAGAGUAUGGGGGGCUGGGGUCCCAUCUAUAGCCUGAAUUUGAGACUUUCAGUUGCUCCUCUCAUUCCCCAUUUAAUUUGUGGGGAUCCCCAACUGACCCCUCCCUACACUUCCAGGGCACUGAGGAGGGAGGGCCCGCUGAAGGAGCCCCGAAUUAUCUCUAGGCCAGGUCAGGAGCCAUUAGUGUCCCCUCCCCUGACAGCAUCCUCCUCCUUCUGCCCUCACAUUCAGAGCCACUGACAAGACUUUAAGCAAGAGACGGAGAGUUAACAUCUAAUCUGGAGGAAGACCCUGGAAGGAGCCAGCCCCUUCCCCCAGGCUGACCUGGUUUAAGCCUUUCUUCUGCCAAGGUCACCAGCACCCCAGAUGGGUGAGAGAUGUGAUCACUGGUUUCGUGGCCUGACCAAGGACCUCCAAGAUUCUGUGGCAGAUGAGAAAUGCCUUGGUCCUUGGGCUGCUUGCAGCCUAGCGAGGGACAGACUUUUAACCUCUCUAGGAGAGUGGCUGCUUCAAGUCAUCCUAUGGGACCAGCUGUUCAUGCUUCCUCUUGCCCAGAACUACUUCUGUGAGAGGAAAAGAGAAGGGUAGGAGCGUGCCCUGCAGCUGGAAACCCAAGCCAGGCGGGGAGCCACGAAUGCAGUAGUUAUCAGACUGUAUCUUCAAUCCUGGGGGCUUCUCAAGCCAUUGCCAGCCACUCUUCACCCAAGGCCUGGUGGAAUAAAGCUGGGCUAAGUAACACCUCUUCUGUGGAAAAUUAUUGUUUCUGCAAGCCUAUAUUCAUUCUCCCUCUCUCUCAUGCUGAUCAGAACUGUGAGUUACAAAAAAAAUGAGAAGAUGGAAUCAAUUAUUACGUAGUAAAUUUCAUUUGCUUGGCAGGAGGUAUCUUUCCCAUCUUGGCCCACAGAGGAGGAAAUCCUAGAAGGGAUGACUGAAGCUUGGGACUAACACAUUGGUGGAUCUGUGCUACCCCCUGCUGGCCGUAGACGGUAUGACAGCCAAGAUAGGGCAAGGCUUCGAGGGGCGAUGGAUGGAUUCACCGCAGCGGCGACAUUUCUGGACUGUUGUCACCUUCAGUGCAGUCACUGGGAAUAUUCAGAACCCAGACAGAGUCUCACUCUGUUGCCCAGGCGGCUGGAGUGCAGUGGUGUGAUCUCAGCUCACUGCGACCUCCGCUUCCCAGAUUCAAGCAAUUCUCCUGCCUCAGCCUCCUGAGUAGCUGGGACUACAGGUGUGUGCCACCACGUUCAGCUAAUUUUUGUAUUUUUAGUAGAGACGGGGUUUCACCAUGUUGGCCAGGCUGGUCUUGAACUCCUGACCUCAAGUGAUCCACCCGCCUUGGCCUCCCAAAGUGCUGGGAUUACAGGUGUGAGCCACCGCGCCUGGCCUCUUAACAGUUCUAAUGUAUCUUUGCAGAGCUAUUUGGAGCAUAUGCUGUGUAUAUGUGCGUGUGUGUGUGACACAAAUGAUAGCACACGCUCUACACUGUUCAGCACCUGCUAUUUUCAUGUCAUAAUAUACCUGCCUGUAGAUAGUCAACAUAGUUUUCCAUCGUAUGGUGUGUCACAAUUUAUUUACCAUUCCCCUCCUAGUGGAUAUUUAUGUAUGUCCGCCUUUUAUUACUACAAACAAUGCUAAUUACAGGAAAUAUCUUGGUACAUAUAUUUGCAGACAUAUGUGUGUGUGUGAAAUAAAUUUAUAAGUAUGGCAAUUCUGGGUCAAAGAUUAUGUGCUCUUAAAUGUUUUAUAGGUUUUCACAGAAUUGCCCUCCAAAAAUUUUGUACCAAUUUACAAUCCCCAACAACGGAUGAGAUCACCUGUUUCCCCAAAUCCUCACAAACAGGUUAAUAUCAGGCCUUUUGAUCUUAGGUGAUGACUCUUUAAAAGUCCUGCUCACAGAGCAGUUGAUGAUCUGUCUUUUUCUUUGGGCCGCGGGUUUCUCCAAGGAAGGGACUGUGUCUUUCUCAUACCUACAUCCCCAGUGAAGGACUUGACACCAUCCUUGGGAGUUACUCAAGAAGUGUCUGCUAAAUAUUGAGUGAAAGAAACAGAGCUGCAUUUUGGCAGGCUGGGAGGGAGAGGGUAAAAGGUUAGGUUUGAACAGGAGGCCUGCUUUUUUUUUUUUUUUUUGAGAUGGAGUCUCACUCUGUUGCCCAGGCUGGAGUGCAGUGGCGCGAUCUCAGCUCACUGCAACCUCCAAGGAGGACUGCUCUUUAGGGCCACUUUCUCUUCCAGACCCUGGUCAAGCCUCUGCCCCAAAUCCAAAAGCCUUCCUCUUGCAGGAGCCUCCCAGGUUGCAAGGUCUGAGGUUGAAGGCCCAGAACUCCCAGUGCAGCUUUCACCCAGCUCUGCUGCAUUCCAGGGAUGGGCCCCAUCAUCCCCAAGCUGCCUGAGAACUGGAAACAAACUAGGUGUCCAGCUUUAGGGGAUCAGUUAAACCACUGUCCUAUAGAACUUUCUGCAAUGAUGAAAAUGUUCUCUAUCUGCCCUGUCCAAUAUGGCAGCCACUGGCCACUCGUAGCUACCGAGUAUUCAAGCUGUAGCUAGUUCAACUAAGGAAAUAAAUAAAUGUUACUUAAUUUUAAUUAAUUUCCAUUUAAGUAGCCAUGUGUGGCUACAUAUUGGACAGUGAAGGGUUCAGUAAAUUAUGAUAUAGCCCCACAAUGGAAAACUAUGCAGCUGUAAAAAAAAAAAAUAAUAAGGAUGCCAAGAAAAAUGGAAAGAUCUUCAGGAUAUAUUUUGAAACAAAAAUGUGGUACAGGCUGUGUGCAGUGGCUCACGCCAAUAAUCCCAGCACUUUGGGAGGCCAAGGUGAGAGGCCGAGGCAGGAGGAUCACUUGAGUCCAGGGGUUCAAGACCAGCCUGGUCAACAUAAUGAGACUUCCGUCUCUACAGAAAGUGAAAAAAAAAAAAAAGACAGCAUGGUGGUAUAUGAAUGUAGUCCCAUCUACUCAGGAAGCUGAGGUGGGAGGAUUGCUUGAGCCAGGGAAGUUGAGGCUGCAGUAAGCUGUGAUUGUGCCACCACACUCCAGCCUGUGUGACAGAGCAAGACCCCAUCUAAAAAAAAAAAAAAAGGCCAGGCACGAUGGCUCACACAUGUAAUCCCAGCACUUUGGGAGGCCGAGGACCGUGGAUCACCUGAGGUUGGGAGCUCAAGACCAGCCUGACCAACAUAGAGAAACCUCAUCUCUACUAAAAACACAAAAUUAGCUGGGUGUGGUGGCACAUGCCUAUAAUCCCAGCUACUCAGAAGACUGAGGCAGAAGAACCACUUGAACCCAGGAGGCGGAGGUUGCGGUGAGCCAAGAUAGUGCCAUUGCACUUCAGCCUGGGUAACAAGAGCGAAACUCUGUCUCAAAAAAAAAAAUGUGGUUCAGAACAGUAUACAUAGUAUGUCAUCUUUUUUGAAAGAAAGGCAGGUAGGCCGGGCGCAGUGGCUCACACCUGUAAUCCCAGCACUUUGGGAGGCCGAGGUGGGCGGAUCACGAGGUCAGGAGAUUGAGACCAUCCUGGCUAACGCGGUGAAACCCUGUCUCUACUAAAAAUACAAAAAAUUAGCCGGGCGUAGGUGGUGCACUCCUGUAGUCCCAGCUACUCGGGAGGCUGAGGCAGGAGAAUGGCGUAAAACCCGGGAGGCUGAGCUUGCAGUGAGCCAAGAUCGCGCCACUGUACUUCAGCCUGGGAGACAGAGCGAGAUUCCGUCUCAAAAAAUAAAAAAAAAAGAAAAAGAAAGGCAGGUAGAGGAGGCUGGAUGUGGUGGCUCAUGCCUGUAAUACCAGCACUUUGGGAGGCCAAGGGGGACAGAUCACUUGCAGAAAUGUGAGACCGGCCUGGACAACAUGGUGAAACCCCAUCUCUACACAAAAUACAAAAAUUAGUUGGACGUGGUAGUGCGCACCUGUAGUCCCAGCUACUCAGGAGGCUAAAGUGGGAGGGUUGCUUGAGCUGGGGAAGUCAAGGCUGCAGUGAGCCAAGAUUGCACCACUGCACUCCAGCAGGGGUGACAGAGGGAGACAGCAGGAGUGACAGAGUGAGACCCUGUCUCAAAAAAAAAAAGAAAAGAGCUUUGCACAGUGGUAGUAUCGUAGCCAAUGAAUGAAAGGGAGGUGGAAAUAAAAAUAAAUGUUUAUAUUUGCUUGAAUUUGCAUAGGGAAAGCAAUAACAGUGGGUGACCUAUAGGGAGCUGGGGAAUCCUGUUGCGGGGGUAGGCAAGGACAGGGUGGGAACAGAGCUUUCCAGUGAAUUUCUUUAUAUUUCAUUUUGGUUGUUGAAACAUGUACAUAUAUUACCUAUUCAAAAAGUUAAAUUAAGGUCAGGUGCAGUGGCUCAUGCCCGUAAUCCCAGUACUUUGGGAGGUUGAGGUAGGAGGAUCACUUUACCCCAGGAGUUGGAGACCAGCCUGGGCAAUAUAGUGAGACCUCCUUUCUACAAAAAGUUUACAAAUUAGCCAUAAGCCAG